AUGAGUCUAGUGGGUAUUGUUUUAUUACAUGGGUUUGGUGGAGGUGUGUUCUCGUGGCGGCACAUAAUGAAUUCUCUCGCUCGGCAAAGUAAUUGUUCGGUUGCUGCAAAGUUCAAUGAUUAUGCAGUUCAGUUUGAUCUUCAGGGUUUUGACAUAAGUUUGUUAAUUUUGCUUAUUUGUUUUUAUUACUUUAUUUCAACAAACUAUGUUGAUGUUUGCUUGGUGUAG